rnacentral:rRNA from 1 species
AGAGUUUGAUCCUGGCUCAGAACGAACGCUGGCGGCAUGCCUAACACAUGCAAGUCGAACGCUUCCGCGGAUUUCGGUCCGGGGAGGAGUGGCGCACGGGUGAGUAGCGCGUGGGAACCUGCCCUGUUGUGGGGGAUAACCGAGGGAAACUUCGGCUAAUACCGCAUGCGCCCCCCGGAUUUUGGUCUGGGGGGAAAGAG